rnacentral:misc_RNA from 1 species
AAGAUUGGAGAAUGUGCUUAUUGUCAAAGAGGGCAAUACUAAGUUCAACUUUGGCGACAAGGGUUACUUGACAUUUGAGCAUAUAACUUGGGCACCAUAUCAGAGGAAGUUGAUUGAUGUUAGCCUUCUGGUGCCCGAAGAGAUCCAAUGGUUGAACGAGUACCACUGUAAAUGCUCGGAAAUCCUCGCUCCUUAUUUGAAUCAAUCUGAGAUGGAAUGGUUGAAGAAUGCUACUGCACCCAUUGCAGCUUGAGAUGUUCAGUGCUCUUACCCUUUAUUGAAUAAAGUUUGUAAAAUUCAGCACUCAUACAAUAAAAAACCUAUACUUGUCAUUAUUAUAUAUAUACGCAUUACUGCAUUUGGAGAUGGUGGUCCUGGGAAAAAAAGAAAGGGUUUUAUUUUGGUUUUCCUGGCUAUAUUUGUACUACUUUAGUGCGAUUUUUUCAAGGGUGUGUUUGGUUGGUCACUCUGCGAAAUCGAGUCCCUUAGAAAGUGGAAGCAGGAAGGAUUAGUUCCUUAAGUGAAAU